UUGACUGUGCCGGUAUGCAGCCUGCUGUGGAGCCUGACCGUGGGUUAUGCGUCAACCACAAACGGAUAGAUUCUUUGGAGUCGAAUAAAAACGCUUAA
rnacentral:sRNA from 1 species